UACGGAGGGUGCGAGCGUUGUCCGGAUUUAUUGGGUUUAAAGGGUGCGUAGGUGGGUUAAUAAGUCAGUGGUGAAAUACGGUUGCUCAACAAUCGAGGUGCCAUUGAUACUGUUAAUCUUGAAACAAGUGGAGGUUGCCGGAAUGGAUGGUGUAGCGGUGAAAAUGCAUAGAUAUCAUCCAGAACACCGAUUGCGAAGGCAGGUGACUACGUUUUGAUUUUGACACUGAGGCACGAAAAGCAUGGGGGAGCAAACAGG
rnacentral:rRNA from 1 species